rnacentral:rRNA from 1 species
GACGAACGCUGGCGGCGUGCUUAACACAUGCAAGUCGAACGGAAAGGCCUUGCUUUUGUGGCGGACUCGAGUGGCGCACGGAUGAGUCACCCGUGAGUAGCCUGCCCUCGGCUUUGGGAUAACGUCAGUAAACUGGGGGCAAUACCGGAUAGGGGCUACUGCUGCAUGGGGGGGGUUGGAAAGUUUCGGCGGUUGGGGAUGGACUGGCGGCUUAUGAGCCUGUUGGUGGUGUCGUGGCCUACCAAGGCUUUGACGGGUAGCCGGCCGGAGAGGGUGACCGGCAGCAACGGGACUGCGGUGAGGCCGAGACUCCUACGAGAGGCAGCAGUAGUGGAGAAUGCACAGUAAGCGGAGGACGGAUGCAGCAACGCCGCGUGCGGGAUGACGGCCUUCGGGUUGUAGACCGCUUUCGCCUGUGACGAAGAGUGAGUGACGGUAAUGGGUAAAGAAGCACCGGCUAACUACGUG